rnacentral:rRNA from 1 species
GGAUGAUUGAGAGGGGCUGCUCCUAGUACGAGAGGACCGGAGUGGACGAACCUCUGGUGUUCGGGUUGUGUCGCCAGACGCAUUGCCCGGUAGCUAAGUUCGGAAUCGAUAACCGCUGAAAGCAUCUAAGCGGGAAGCGAGCCUCAAGAUGAGUCAUCCCUGAUACUUUAAGUAUCCUAAAGGGUUGUUGGAGACUACGACGUAGAUAGGCAGGGUGUGUAAGCGCUGUGAGGCGUUGAGCUAACCUGUACUAAUUGCCCGUGAGGCUUAACCAUACAACACCCAAGGGGUUU